AUGUGUUCAAGCGAUUCCUCUACCUCAGACUCCGGAGUAGCUGGGACUACAGGUGGUGGCAAUAUCCUUGAAGAGACUAAAAGAACUCAGAACAGCACUGAACAAGCCAGCAGAGCCGUCACACUCACCCCUACAGUCUCCACAGACAAAGUCCAUGAAAGCAUUGGCCAUUGGCUUUCACUGGCGUGGAUGUGUCACCAGUGGGGUAGAGUUGUUCCUGUCUCUGACACUAUUAGUUCAUUCUCACACUGCUAUUAAAACAAACAAACAAACAAAAAACUUAAGACUGGGUAAUUUAUGAAGAAGAGAGGUUUAAUUGGCUCAUGAUUCUGCAGGCUAUACAGGAAGCAUCAUGGCUUCUGCUUCUGGGGAGGCCUCAGAGGCUUCCAAUCAUGGCGGAAGCCCAAGUGGGCACAAGGGGCUCCACAUGGCCGCAGCAGGAGGAAGAGAGACAGCAGGUAGGUGCCACACACUUUCAAACAACCAGAUCUCAAGAGAACUUACUAUGGUGAUGACAGUACCAGGGGAUGGUGUUAAACCAUGAGAAACCACUCCCAUGACCCAAUCGCCGCCCACCAGGCCCCACCUCCA
rnacentral:lncRNA from 1 species